UCUUGCAAUUGGAUUGAGAACAAUGUACAACUCUUAUCGAUAAGCCAUUGGAGGGCAAGUCUGGUGCCAGCAGCCGCGGUAAUUCCAGCUCCAAUAGCGUAUAUUAACGUUGUUGCAGUUAAAAAGCUCGUAGUUGAAGUGUGGGUGAUCGCUAUUGUGAGACUUCGGUCUCUCAACGGAAAGUCACCCCCUUCCAGUAUCCAGUAGUGGGUAUUCAGUUACUUACUAUUGUGUGUUGGUCCUUUACUGUGAGAAAAUUAGAGUGUUCAAAGCAGGCGUUUGCUUGAAUAGAUUAGCAUGGAAUAAUAAUUGAAGGCUUUCGUGUUCGAUUUGAUUGGUUUGUUCAUGGAAGCAAGGUUAAAAGGAACAGUUGGGGGUAUUCAUAUUCACUAGUUAGAGGUGAAAUUCUCGGAUUUAUGGAA
rnacentral:rRNA from 1 species